rnacentral:rRNA from 1 species
UACGGGGGGAGCAAGCGUUGUUCGGAUUUACUGGGCGUAAAGGGCGCGUAGGCGGUCAGCACAAGUCAGUUGUGAAAUCUCCGGGCUUAACUCGGAAAGGUCAACUGAUACUGUGCGACUAGAGUGCGGAAGGGGCAACUGGAAUUCUUGGUGUAGCGGUGAAAUGCGUAGAUAUCAAGAGGAACACCUGCGGCGAAGGCGGGUUGCUGGGCCGACACUGACGCUGAGGCGCGAAAGCGUGGGUAGCAAACAGG